rnacentral:rRNA from 1 species
CGGGAAUAUUGCGCAAUGGAGGAAACUCUGACGCAGUGACGCCGCGUAUAGGAAGAAGGUCUUCGGAUUGUAAACUAUUGUCGUUAGGGAAGAAAAAGGACAGUACCUAAGGAGGAAGCUCCGGCUAACUAUGUGCCAGCAGCCGCGGUAAUACGUAGGGAGCAAGCGUUAUCCGGAUUUAUUGGGUGUAAAGGGUGCGUAGACGGGAUAAUAAGUUAGUUGUGAAAUCCCUCGGCUCAACUGAGGAACUGCAACUAAAACUGUUAUUCUUGAGUGUUGGGGAGGAAAGCGGAAUUCCUAGUGUAGCGGUGAAAUGCGUAGAUAUUAGGAGGAACACCAGUGGCGAAGGCGGCUUUCUGGACAGUAACUGACGUUGAGGCACGAAAGUGUGGGGAGCAAACAGG